GAUGAAGAACGCAGCGAAAUGCGAUAAGUAGUGUGAAUUGCAGAAUUCAGUGAAUCAUCGAAUCUUUGAACGCACAUUGCGCCCCUUGGUAUUCCAUGGGGCAUGCCUGUUCGAGCGUCAUUUGUACCCUCAAGCUUUGUUUGGUGUUGGGCGUCUUGUCGUAUUACGACUCGCCUUAAAUACAUUGGCAGCCGGCACUUUGGCCUAGGAGCGCAGCACAUUUUGCGAUCGUAGCCCGUUGUACUGGCGUCCAUCAAGAACAUUUACCACGUUUGACCUCGGAUCAGGUAGGGAUACCCGCUGAACUUAAGCAUAUCAAUAAGCGGAGGA
rnacentral:misc_RNA from 1 species